rnacentral:rRNA from 1 species
UGGGGAAUAUUGCACAAUGGGCGCAAGCCCGAUGCAGCCAUGCCGCGUGUAUGAAGAAGGCCUUCGGGUUGUAAAGUACUUUCAGUCGGGAGGAAGGUGGUAAGGUUAAUAACCUUGGCAAUUGACGUUACCGACAGAAGAAGCACCGGCUAACUCCGUGCCAGCAGCCGCGGUAAUACGGAGGGUGCAAGCGUUAAUCGGAAUUACUGGGCGUAAAGCGCACGCAGGCGGUUGAUUGAGUCAGAUGUGAAAUCCCCGGGCUCAACCUGGGAACUGCAUUCGAAACUGGCAGGCUAGAGUCUUGUAGAGGGGGGUAGAAUUCCAGGUGUAGCGGUGAAAUGCGUAGAGAUCUGGAGGAAUACCGGUGGCGAAGGCGGCCCCCUGGACAAAGACUGACGCUCAGGUGCGAAAGCGUGGGGAGCAAACAGG